rnacentral:rRNA from 1 species
AGCGAACGCUGGCGGCAGGCUUAACACAUGCAAGUCGAGCGGGCACUUUCGGGUGUCAGCGGCGGACGGGUGAGUAACGCGUGGGAACGUGCCCUCUGGUUCGGAAUAACUCAGGGAAACUUGAGCUAAUACCGGAUACGCCCUUUUGGGGAAAGGCUUGCUGCCGGAGGAUCGGCCAGCGGCUGAUUAGCUCGUUGGGGAGGUAACGGCUCACCAAGGCGACGAUCAGUAGCUGGUCUGAGAGGAUGAUCAGCCACACUGGGACUGAGACACGGCCCAGACUCCUACGGGAGGCAGCAAUGGGGAAUAUUGGACAAUGGGCGCAAGCCUGAUGCAGCCAUGCCGCGUGAGUGAUGAAGGGCUGGGGGCUGUAAAGCUCUUUUAUCCGGGACGAUAAUGACGGUACCGGAGGAAUAAGCCCCGGCUAACUUCGUG